GAUGAAGAACGCAGCGAAAUGCGAUAAGUAGUGUGAAUUGCAGAAUUCAGUGAAUCAUCGAAUCUUUGAACGCACAUUGCGCCCCUUGGUAUUCCAUGGGGCAUGCCUGUUCGAGCGUCAUUUGUACCUUCAAGCUUUGCUUGGUGUUGGGUGUUUGUCCUGAGGGACUCGCCUUAAAGUAAUUGGCAGCCAGUGUUUGGUUUUGAAGCGCAGCACAAGUCGCGAUUCAAAGCUAUACGCCCGCUUCCACAAGCCUUUUUCACUUUUGACCUCGGAUCAGGUAGGGAUACCCGCUGAACUUAAGCAUAUCAAUAAGCGAGGA
rnacentral:misc_RNA from 1 species